rnacentral:rRNA from 1 species
UACGGAGGGAGCUAGCGUUGUUCGGAAUUACUGGGCGUAAAGCGCACGUAGGCGGCUUUGUAAGUUAGAGGUGAAAGCCCGGAGCUCAACUCCGGAACUGCCUUUAAGACUGCAUCGCUUGAAUCCAGGAGAGGUGAGUGGAAUUCCGAGUGUAGAGGUGAAAUUCGUAGAUAUUCGGAAGAACACCAGUGGCGAAGGCGGCUCACUGGACUGGUAUUGACGCUGAGGUGCGAAAGCGUGGGGAUCAAACAGG